rnacentral:misc_RNA from 1 species
GUUUCCUGUAUUGCAUACCUACACGAAGGAAUUCGAGUGUCCCAACAUUUAACAUUCUUCUAGUGCCACUCCCGCAAGGGCGCAGCGUGAGGUUAACCGUGAAGGCAACUUCGUGUUCCAAGACAAUCGUAGCACACGUCGUUGUUUUGGCCCACGAAGUGCAGCCUGAGCUCUCGGAUGCUGAAUACCAUGAGGGUAGGAGGUCGCGGCCUUCGUGUGCCCACGCUCAGCUUUAAUCGCUCGCAUCGAACGACUACCGUCGUCGUCUUGAGAAGUCGUGAC